rnacentral:misc_RNA from 1 species
AAAUACUUCGGUUCCCCGCCGCUUCCAGCGCGCGUUGUUUCCGGUAUUGGGCGCUUCCCGAUCCACACAAUUGAUUGGACCAGGUCUCCUGAAAUGCAAUAGCGAUGGAUCGCAAAACGCGACCGGCUACGGCGUACUAAGUUGGGCUUUGCCUGACAAACCUUCGCCUAGAUGCCACGCAGCUUUGCCUUUGCUCACGCAGGAAACGAUCAUUCCGGUGAUCAACC